GAUGAACGCUGGCGGCGUGCCUAAUACAUGCAAGUCGAGCGAACGGACGAGAAGCUUGCUUUUCUGAUGUUAGCGGCGGACGGGUGAGUAACACGUGGAUAACCUACCUAUAAGACUGGGAUAACUUCGGAAAACCGGAUCUAAUACCGGAUAAUAUUUUGAACCGCAUGGUUCAAAAGUGAAAGACGGUCUUGCUGUCACUUAUAGAUGGAUCCGCGCUGCAUUAGCUAGUUGGUAAGGUAACGGCUUACCAAGGCUACGAUGCAUAGCCGACCUGAGAGGGUGAUCGGCGACACUGGAAGUGAGCCACGGUCAAGACUCCUACGGGAGGCAGCAGUAGGGAAUCUUCCGCAAUGGGCGAAAGCCUGACGGAGCAACGCCGCGUGAGUGAUGAAGGUCUUGGGAUCGUAAAACUGUGUUAUUAGGGAAGAACAUAUGUGUAAGUAACUGUGCACAUCUUGACGGUACCGAAUCAGAAAGCAACGGCUAACUACGUG
rnacentral:rRNA from 1 species